AGCUCCAAUAGCGUAUAUUAAAGUUGUUGCAGUUAAAAAGCUCGUAGUUGGAUUUCUGGUGGGAGCGGUCGGUGCGGUCCUCAGGAUUGCUACUCGUACCGUCUCUUGCCAUCCUUGGGUCGAUCCUGUCUGGCAUUAAGUUGUCGGGCAGGGGAUGCCCAUCGUUUACUGUGAAAAAAUUAGAGUGUUCAAAGCAGGCUUAUGCCGUUGAAUAUAUUAGCAUGGAAUAAUAAGAUAGGACUUUGGUACUAUUUUGUUGGUUUGCGCACCAAAGUAAUGAUUAAUAGGGACAGUUGGGGGUAUUCGUAUUCCGUUGUCAGAGGUGAAAUUCUUGGAUUUCCGGAAGACGAACUACUGCGAAAGCAUUUACCAAGGAUGUUUUCAUUA
rnacentral:rRNA from 1 species